CGUUUCGAGGGGCGCUGCAGCGGAGGUUUUCGCGAGGCUCGAAGCGGUGGUUAUCAGUAACGGCGCCCGCUGUCU
rnacentral:ncRNA from 2 species